rnacentral:lncRNA from 1 species
UAUAUUUUAAGUUUUAACAAAUUAAAUAAGGGUGUUCGAGUCUAACAAACCAAAUCGGUUCAAACCAAACCGCGAUUGAACCGGACUUUUAUUUGGUUUGCAUAUCUAAACCAAAACAGAAACAAAAAUAAAAAAUACAAAACAUAAACUCAAGAUUAUUGUACUUUCAAUAUCCCAAAAAAAAAAAAAGAAGAAGAAAAAAAAAACGGUUUCCAGACCAAAACAUGCAAUAUAUUUCGGUUUGUUUUCUCCUUAACCAAAAAAAAUACCGUUCGGAUUAUAUUAUUAAUAGUCAAUAAUGUAAAAUUUGAUUCAAUUAGUAUUACUUACGUAGGCCACCGGAAGGAAGUGGAGGAGGACCAACUUUGAUCGGAAUAGCUUCGGCGAAAACAGCUUUAACGAAUGAACUACCGG